rnacentral:misc_RNA from 1 species
UGCUAAACAUUUAGAAUAUUUAUUGCAAGUUUAUAGGGAACGCAUUUUAUCGUUUUUUUUAUGAAAUGAAUUAAAAGUGGGAAAGUCUGUAGAUAAUUCUAUAGAGAUAAAGUAUUUCGAUAAAAUGCACCACACUGUAAACGAAAAAGUGAAGAAGGCUUAUUCUUAAUAUUUCAUUCUCUUAAUAAGAUAAUAGGGAGUUUUUUUUGUCUCAGACAUUGACGCCAUUACUUGAUCGUGUUUGUGAACCACAAGAUUUGCGGGCAUUUCCUGAAUCUGAUUUGGCACGGUUAGCUGAUGAGUUGCGUGCAGAAACAAUUGAU